UACGGAGGGUGCGAGCGUUGUUCGGAAUCACUGGGCGUAAAGGGCGCGUAGGCGGCGCGGGAAGUCAUCGGUGAAAGUUCAGGGCUCAACUCUGAAUCGGCCGGUGAUACUCUCGUGCUCGAGCACUGUAGAGGCAGGUGGAAUUCCGGGUGUAGCGGUGGAAUGCGUAGAGAUCCGGAAGAACACCGGUGGCGAAGGCGGCCUGCUGGGCAGUAGCUGACGCUGAGACGCGAAAGCGUGGGGAGCGAACAGG
rnacentral:rRNA from 1 species